UCAACCUCUCCUAACUGUGAGUUUUUAUCCCGAAGCCAACAGAGAACUGGAAGAUUAACAGUCUGCCCUUGCCAUUCCUUGAAACAACAGAAUCCAUUUUGGCAGUUUUUCCCUUUGGGAAAAGGUACCCUUUUGAAACAUUUGGACACUGGUAUGGACCAUGAUGAGUGGCAAAAGCCCCUUAUCAGUAUUUGAACAGGACACGGCCACUUGAAACAUCAGCCCUGGUGGUUCCUGUUUCUGGAAUUACACCUAUGCCUGUAUGUUUUCCUGGAGAAAUGCAACUUGUCCUAAUGCAACAAAAAGGAGGCUUUGGCAUCACAGCCGCUGUUGUCCCAGCCAUUGCCAUAAGGCCACUGUGGCUCCUGCAGCCAGAAUUGCCUUGGCCCAAUUUUCUGCCAAGGCAGAGACUGUUAACAGCCUUUCUGGUAGAGUUAGUGAAGCACUCUCCACUCAGAUUGCGCUCAAUUCGCAUAUUCAGCUGAGGCUCCUGAAGUUAAAUCAACAAACUGCAUCACUUCAGGAACAAAGUGGUGCUCUGUGGAUAGUGAAUCUCUCUUCCUCCCUCCCUCCCUCCCUCCCUCCCUUCCUUCCUUCCUUCCUUUCCAUUCUUCCCUUUCCUUUCUUUCCUUCAUGUUUUAGGUUGUUUAUAUUUAGUCUUAGAAGUCCUGUACCUCAAUAAGUUGAAGAGGCUGUCCUUCAGCUCACAGAGAUCCGCUUAUCUGUGUGGCUGGAAUGUUGUGAUUAAAGGUGUGCAUCCCCACUCCCAUUUGGAUUGAUUUUCAAACAUUUGUUGGUGGUGAGAGUGAACCCAGAGCCUAGAGCAUGUCAGGUCAGAAGAAGCUACCAGAUCUCAUUACAGAUGUCUGUACAACAACAUAUGAUUGCUGGAUAUUGUAGUUAGGACCUUUGGAAUAUUAGCUAGUGUUCUUAACCACUGAGAUAUCUCUCCAGGUCCCUAAUCUUGGAAUCUUCCUCAUCAGUUUUCUAUGCUUUUGUAGAAAAGUAGGGAUGUGAGAUUGAAAGAAUGAGAAGACAGAUACUUGUGACCUUGGGUUUGGAGAGGUUGACCACAAAGUGCUUGCUUUUACUAUCUUAUCCAACUCUAUACACGUUGUAUUCAUUUAUGAGUGUAUAUUCACUAUAUACAGACUGCUUGUAUGUUUAUUUCAUAAAUAUUAUAUUACUAAUACUGUUUCUUUGGGAAGCCUGAGGAUGCAGUGUAGAGUCUGAGACAUAUUGCACAUCAUACUUCCAAGGAAUCAUACCCUCAUGCCUUCCCCUGGAUUAUUGUGAAAAUAUGUCUUGUGCUAAUAAAUUAAGCCUCAUUAUUAAAAGGAUAAAUUCUUGAAGGAUAUGAAUAACAAAACAGGCAGAGAUAGCACAAACCUCUAAUCCUAGCACUCAGGAGACAAAGGCAAGUGGAUCUCUCAGUUAGAGGUCAGCCUGGUCUAAAGAAUGAGAUUUCACACAACAAGGGAUACACAGAGAAACCCUGUCUUGAAAAAUUACUCAGUAAAUGAUGAAUAAUAAAUUGAUGUAAGAAAACAGAAUCAAUGCUUGGUGGUGAUGGUGCAUACCUUUAACACCAGCACUUGGGAGGCAGAGGCAAGCUACAAGGACAAAGAUCUUACUGUGAUGUAUUGGGUCUAGGGGAAGGAAGGGGAUGAGCAAAGAAAACUUACAAAUAUUUUAAAAUUUGUUUUACACUGUAAAUGGGUAUUAAAUUAUAAGAGGAAACUAACUCCAA